rfam:Raoultella ornithinolytica strain S12, complete genome.
CUUUAAAAAUCUGGAUCAAGCUGAAAAUUGAAACGACGCACUGUUUCCUUUCUCCGUAAUAAGAAAGGAAAAACGGUGUGUUCGAGUCUCUCAAAUUUUCACAACACGACCUGUUUUACGAAACAGCUUCGG